CAGAUGUGUAUAAGAGACAGGUGAAUCAUCGAAUCUUUGAACGCAUAUUGCACCUUAGAGUAUUCUUUAAGGUAUACCUGUUUGAGCGUCGUUUAGAACAUAAAGCAUUUGCUUUUUGUUAGAUUUUGGUUAGAAAUAACCAAUUUCUUAAACACAGUGGCGUCAUUUUGUUAGUCAAUACACAGUGAAAAUGUGUGCUUGGUUGAUCAAAUGAUAUUAUGCCUAUUGAAUAAUUUAACUGUUCGACCUCAAAUCAAGUAAGACUACCCGCUGAACUUAAGCAUAUCAAUAAGCGGAGGA
rnacentral:misc_RNA from 1 species